GUCUAUGGCCAUGCUACCCAGAACAAGCCCAAUCCCUUCUGAUCUUGGAAGCUAAGCAGCAUCGGGCCUGGUUAGUACUUGGGUGGGAGACCACCUAGGAAGACCAGGUACUGUUGGCA
rnacentral:rRNA from 1 species